AGAGUUUGAUCAUGGCUCAGGAUGAACGCUAGCGGCAGGCUUAAUACAUGCAAGUCGAACGGGAUUCGAGGUAGCAAUACUUUGAUGAGAGUGGCGCACGGGUGCGUAACGCGUAUGCAACCUACCUUUAACUGGGAGAUAGCCCCGAGAAAUCGGGAUUAAUACCCCAUAACAUUACGAAUUGGCAUCAAUUUGUGAUUAAAGCUCCGGCGGUUAGAGAUGGGCAUGCGUGACAUUAGCUGGUUGGUGAGGUAACGGCUCACCAAGGCAACGAUGUCUAGGGGUCCUGAGAGGGUUAUCCCCCACACUGGUACUGAGACACGGACCAGACUCCUACGGGAGGCAGCAGUAAGGAAUAUUGGUCAAUGGGCGCAAGCCUGAACCAGCCAUGCCGCGUGCAGGAAGACGGCCCUAUGGGUUGUAAACUGCUUUUAUCAGGGAAUAAACCCCCGCUCGUGAGCGGGGCUGAAGGUACCUGAGGAAUAAGCAUCGGCUAACUCCGUGCCAGCAGCCGCGGUAAUACGGAGGAUGCAAGCGUUAUCCGGAUUCAUUGGGUUUAAAGGGUGCGCAGGCGGAUUGGUAAGUCAGGGGUGAAAUCCCACAGCUCAACUGUGGAACUGCCUUUGAUACUGUCAGUCUAGAGUAUAGUUGAAGUUGGCGGAAUGUGUCAUGUAGCGGUGAAAUGCUUAGAUAUGACACAGAACACCGAUCGCGAAGGCAGCUAGCUAAGCUAUAACUGACGCUCAUGCACGAAAGCGUGGGGAUCAAACAGGAUUAGAUACCCUGGUAGUCCACGCUGUAAACGAUGAUUACUCGAUGUUGGCGAUACACAGUCAGCGUCUGAGCGAAAGCAAUAAGUAAUCCACCUGGGGAGUACGAUCGCAGAUUGAAACUCAAAUGAAUUGACGG
rnacentral:rRNA from 1 species